rfam:Myotis davidii contig319971, whole genome shotgun sequence.
UGGGCUCCGCACCUCGCUCACAGAUCUGCAUCGGAAUGUAGAAAAGAUCUUUUUUAAAAAAAAGUUUUGAAUUCCUCAAUGAUUUUUCUUCUGGAAAGGCAGCUUAGGAUAAUUAUGUCAGCUUUAUUGAGGGCAGAUUAGUUGAGGUCUGGACGCUGCGUUUCAAUGCACGUUGUACACGGGCCGACAAUGUGG